GAAAGAGGUCGGCUGGAGAGGCACUCUCAGCCAGUUGCGGUUCCCUCGCGAGCCUGGUGUGCGUGUAACCCAAGGCCUUGCGGCGUUUUGGGAAACGGUGCCUGGUAUAACAGCGUGCAAGGGCAAGAAUCGACGUGUACAAGAGCUCUAUACUCUGUGUUGAUGAUGCACUGCUUCCCCCUUCUGAGAUGCUGGACGGUGGACCAGAAUUUUCUUGAAGCUGUCUUGAAGUCGUUCUACAUGGCCUCACCGAACUCCUCCCAUACCUUGGUUUUUGGCUCAGCAAGGAACAAAGCUGCAUUCCGCCUGUCCAGCCGGUACCCAUCAGCUGCCUCGGGAGUCCAGGAGGCCAAAAAGGUCUAAUAAGACACUUCUUCGGCCUCCCUCACUGUUGGUGUCCACCAACGUGUUCGGGGAUUGCUUCCACGACAGCCACUGAGCACCUUAUGGCCACAGCUCCGGUUAGCCGGCUCAGCAAUGGACGUGUGGAACAUCGUCCACUCGGACUCAAUUUCCCCCUGCCUCCACGGAACAUGAGUAAAGAUCUUUCAGCGGUGGGAGUUGAAACUCCUUCUGACGGAAACCUGCCAGCCAUUCUCAGCAAACCCUCGCAAUAUGUUAAAUACCAAUGACAAUGUAUUUAUUCAUGUACCUGUAUGUACCACAAGACAUGAUAUGCCCCAAGGAAGCUGCCUAUACAUAACCUCUAAUAAUUUUUCAUUUAUUAAUGUGAUUACAAUUGCAUAUGUUUUUAUUUGGUUUAUAUUAUUUUUUUAUUUUUGAUUAACUACUUUGCAUUUUGUUUCAACAUUAAUGUGAAUUGUGUUUUCCAAUGCACUUGAGUGCAAAAUACAAGGAUCAAUCAAUGGA